GACGAACGCUGGCGGCGUGCCUAAUACAUGCAAGUCGAACGCAGUGGGGACGGGUGAGUAACACGUGGGUAACCUCCCAUCAGAGGGGAUAACACUUGGAAACAGGUGCUAAAACGAUACUGAUGGAUGGACCCGCGGUGCAUUAGCUCGUGGGUGAGGUAACGGCUCACCAAGGCCACGAUGCAUAGCCGACCUGAGAGGGGGAUCGGCCACCAUGGGCCUUGGACACGGCCCAGUCUCCGACGGGAGGCAGCAGUAGGGAAUCUUCCGCAAUGGGCGCAAGCCUGACGUAGCAAAGCCGCGUGAGUGAAGAAGGUUUUCGGAUCGUAAAGCUCUGUUGUAAGAGAAGCGGUAUCUUACCAGAAAGCCACGGCUAACGACGUGCCAGCAGCCGCGGUAAUUC
rnacentral:rRNA from 1 species